UACGUAGGACGCAAGCGUUAUCCGGAUUUAUUGGGUUUAAAGGGUGCGUAGGCGGACCCAUAAGUCAGUGGUGAAAGACUGUCGCUUAACGAUAGCAUUGCCAUUGAUACUGUGGAUCUUGAGUAUAGUUGAGGUAGGCGGAAUGUGUAGUGUAGCGGUGAAAUGCUUAGAUAUUACACAGAACACCGAUUGCGAAGGCAGCUUACUAAGCUAUAACUGACGCUGAGGCACGAAAGCGUGGGGAUCAAACAGG
rnacentral:rRNA from 1 species